rnacentral:lncRNA from 11 species
GAAAGAAGGGCUCCCUACUUCUCUAUCCCACAAUUAAGCUUGGAAAGGCCUUUGCAACUGAUCAGAAAUCUGCGCUAUGGGAUGCGUCGUCGCUCGCUGCCAAUUUCCGGUCUCCGUGGCAACUCGCAAUCUCGAAAUGCCCUGGGCUCUUGCCCUCUGAAAGCAGAGAUGUGCAAAUACUGAGCAAAAAGAGAGAAAAACUAUGAUGUGAAAGCAAAGGGAAGUGGGAAACCAACCCCAGAGGGCCGGAGAAAGACCCAACGUGCCCGUAGACAGGGCCUGAAGGUCUGAAUGUCAUCGGCAUCCUCCCUCCAAGACUGUAUCCAGGAACGAGCCGGGAGAGGGACCUGAUAAACACAAGGUUGCAAAAUGCAAGAGGUCAAUGGAAUUUCCAGCCAUAAGCACUUUCUCAAGCCGUAAAUUUUAAAUAGCAGUCUUCGGAGCCAGGAAACCUGAGCCAGGUCUGCGAGAUAUAUUGUGUCGGGAGCAAGCAAGGUCAGAAUCCGGACUCCAGGCCCGUUCCCACCUUGUCUUCAUUAAUGCUGUGUGUGCCCUCCAAUUGCGCACAGGCUUGCCUUUGCAGACUAAGUCAGUCCUCUCCAUCAUCCUGCCAGGAGGCCGGGCUCCCCAGUCUCCGCCAGCAGCGGCCCCAGAUCUUUGGGGAUCCCUCACCUCCGGUGAUAAACGGCCUCCCCUCCGUCCUCGGCCCAAGACAAAUGAGCUGCACGCCGCAGGAUGGAGUUGGCAGCCCGGGUCUCAGUCAUUGGGGCUCCAGGAGAAUGAAAACCAACCCACAAGCAUAAUCCGCCACAGCCCUCCCCUCAAAGAGGUUGGUUUGGGCCCCGGCACAUUUCUCCCUCGAAGGGUUGGCACCGUGGGGCGGGAGGAGGGGGACGCUGGGUCUGAGAUGGGCUUCUGAAGGUCCAUCAAGUGUGGAGACCCCUUUAAAGGGUGAGGUGGAAAGAAAUGAGGGUGAUCGGGUCAGGAAGAACGAAGAAAGACCCGCUAACAUU